GAUGAACGCUGGCGGCGUGCCUAAUACAUGCAAGUCGAGCGAACAGAUAAGGAGCUUGCUCCUUUGACGUUAGCGGCGGACGGGUGAGUAACACGUGGGUAACCUACCUAUAAGACUGGAAUAACUCCGGGAAACCGGGGCUAAUGCCGGAUAACAUUUAGAACCGCAUGGUUCUAAAGUGAAAGAUGGUUUUGCUAUCACUUAUAGAUGGACCCGCGCCGUAUUAGCUAGUUGGUAAGGUAACGGCUUACCAAGGCAACGAUACGUAGCCGACCUGAGAGGGUGAUCGGCCACACUGGAACUGAGACAUGGUCCAGACUCCUACGGGAGGCAGCAGUAGGGAAUCUUCCGCAAUGGGCGAAAGCCUGACGGAGCAACGCCGCGUGAGUGAUGAAGGUCUUCGGAUCGUAAAACUCUGUUAUUAGGGAAGAACAAAUGUGUAAGUAACUGUGCACGUCUUGACGGUACCUAAUCAGAAAGCCACGGCUAACUACGUG
rnacentral:rRNA from 1 species